rnacentral:lncRNA from 1 species
CCUUAAGAAUUUACCAAAAAUUCUUAGAAGUUAGUUCUUUAACCUAACAAGAGCAUGCAGCUAUAUGAAAGCUCGGCAUUACUCACCUCACUGAGGCUCAAGGAGAGAGAGGAGCUGUCAGGGAUCUGAACGAAGCAGGGCAUAAUGAGACUGAUGCUCUGGGGUCAGUCCCUUAAACCCAACACCUCCUUAAGUCCCUAUCAGAGGGGGAGAGGCUCAAAGACACUUUGCAAAUACCAACUUUUUAUCUGGCCUUGUUAUAAAACUGGCCUCGUGCAGGGAAGGAGAAAGCAAACAGAGCUUUUCAACUUAAGAUCCUCAUGUGAAAUCAAGUCAAUUUUUUAAAAAGGUAUUUAUUCAACACAGU